rnacentral:rRNA from 1 species
UACGGGGGGGGGCAAGCGUUUGUUCGGAAUUACUGGGCGUAAAGGCUCGUAGGCGGCCAACUAAGUCAGACGUGAAAUCCCUCGGCUUAACCGGGGAACUGCGUCUGAUACUGGAUGGCUUGAGUUUGGGAGAGGGAUGCGGAAUUCCAGGUGUAGCGGUGAAAUGCGUAGAUAUCUGGAGGAACACCGGUGGCGAAGGCGGCAUCCCGUCGGACCAACACU